rnacentral:rRNA from 1 species
AACGAACGCUGGCGGCGUGCUUAACACAUGCAAGUCGAACGGACUCUUCGGAGUUAGUGGCGGACGGGUGAGUAAUACAUAGAUAAUCUGCCUUCAAGUGGGGGAUAACUAAGCGAAAGUUUAGCUAAUACCGCAUAAUGUAGUUAGUUGAAAUACUAAUUAAGAAAGGAUUUAUUCGCUUUUAGAGGGGUCUAUGGUUGAUUAGCUAGUUGGUGAGGUAAUGGCUCACCAAGGCGACGAUCAAUAGCUGGACUGAGAGGACGAUCAGCCACACUGGGACUGAGACACGGCCCAGACUUCUACGGAAGGCAGCAGUGGGGAAUUUUCCGCAAUGGGCGAAAGCCUGACGGAGCGACGCCGCGUGGAGGAUGAAGUUUUUAGGAAUGUAAACUCCUUUCAGCAGGGACGAAAACAAUGACGGUACCCGCAGAAGAAGCAUCGGCUAACUACGUGCCAGCCGCCGCGGUAA